AACGGGUGAGUAACGCGUUGGUGGAACCUACCCCAAAGUGGGGGAUAACAGAUCGAAAGAUCUGCUAAUACCCCAUGUUGUCAUUGUGCUCAGAAAACAAUGAUUAAAGGAGUAAUCCGCUUUGGGAGGGGCCUGCGUCCAUCAGCUAGUUGGUAGGGUAAUGGCCUACCAAGGCUAUGACGGGUAAGGGACCUGAGAGGGUGGCCCCUCACAAUGGAACUGAAACACGGUCCAU
rnacentral:rRNA from 1 species